CUCAAUGAAAAUUUAUAUAGCCGCAAUAUUGUGCUAAGGUAGCAUAAUCAUUUGUUUUUUAAUUAAAAACUAGAACGAAAGAUUUAACAUUUAUAUUUCUCUCUUAUAUAUAAUAAUUAAACUUAUUUUAAAUAUAAAAAAAUAUUUAUUUCUUAAAAAGACGACAAGACCCUAUUGAACUUAACUAAAGUUUAACUGGGGUAGUUAAUUAAUAAUCAUUUUAAUUUCAAUUUUAAAAAAAUCUAAUAAAAUUAAAAUAAUCAAGUUACCAUAGGGAUAACAGCGUAAUAAUUUUUCCAAGAUCUUAUUCAAAAAUUUGUUUACGACCUCGAUGUUGAAUUAAUAAUCUUUUAAAUGCAAUAAUUUAAUAAAGAAAGUCUGUUCGACUU
rnacentral:rRNA from 1 species